GUAAUGUCACUAAAAUUACAUUCUCCCGCAUCAUGAAUUACCCUUGUGUGCAGCUUAAACAAUCAGAAUGCAAAGCAUGACAAUCUUCUUCAAACUUUUAUCAAAAUCCCUAGUUGAGGCCAUGCACUAAGGUUUUGUUAGCAGUGAGGCAGAAGCAGAGAAACUGCAGCACUAGUAAUACCUGGAUAUGGCCUACUCUGAGCAACAAAACAGACUAUUCUUCUCUAAGCACUUCAACACUGGAACAAGUCUAAAUGAAUUCAGCAGGACCUCUGUCAGAUUAUACACCAUCAGGAGAGAAUUAACAGCAAUAGCAGUCACAAUAGAAGAAUGAACAAUUACAUGCCCCUAGCCUGCCAAAGCUAUCCAUGCAUGGAUU